CCAAGAGGCUUGCCUCUUGGGGUUGUAGGACAUUCUAUACGGAGUUACAAAGGAACGAGGUAGACGAAGCGACCUGGAAAGGUCCGUCACAGAGGGUAACAACCCCGUAGUCGAAACUUCGUUCUCUCUUGAAUGUAUCCUGAGUACGGCGGAACACGUGAAAUUCCGUCGGAAUCUGGGAGGACCAUCUCCCAAGGCUAAAUACUCCCUAGUGAUCGAUAGUGAAC
rnacentral:rRNA from 1 species